rnacentral:rRNA from 1 species
CGGAACGGGUGAGUAAUGCGUGACCAACCUGCCCCAUGCUCCAGAAUAGCUCUUGGAAACGGGUGGUAAUGCUGGAUGCUCCAACUUGACGCAUGUCUUGUUGGGAAAGUGUUUAGUGGCAUGGGAUGGGGUUGCGUCCUAUCAGCUUGUAGGCGGGGUAAUGGCCCACCUAGGCUUCGACGGGUAGCCGGCCUGAGAGGGCGGACGGCCACAUUGGGACUGAGAUACGGCCCAGACUCCUACGGGAGGCAGCAGAC